GACGAACGCUGGCGGCGUGCUUAACACAUGCAAGUCGAACGAAGUGGCGAACGGGUGAGUAACGCGUAAUCAACCUGCCCUUCAGAGGGGGACACCAGUUGGAACCGACUGCUAAUACCGCAUACGGAAGGAGGGGAUUGCGUCGGAUUGGCUAGUUGGAGGGGUAACGGCCCACCAAGGCGAUGAUCAGUAGGCGGGUGGGGAGGAUGAACGGCCACAUUGGGACUGGGGCACGGCCCAGACUCCUACGGGAGGCAGCAGUGGGGAAUCUUCCGCAAUGGGCGAAAGUCUGGCGGAGCAACGCCGCGGUAGUGAUGACGGCCUUCGGGUUGUAAAGCUCUGUUAAUCGGGACGCGGUACCGGAAUAGAAAGCAACGGCUAACUACGUGCCAGCAGCCGCGGUAAUAC
rnacentral:rRNA from 1 species